AUACCGUGAUCAACUAGGCGGUUCCCCCAGGGCGAGGCUACUCCAUUGCACUGCGGAGUGGUUGACCCUUGCGAUUACCCCUAAUGCGGGUAACUCGGACGCGUAAUUUUUGGUAGUGGGGA
rnacentral:snRNA from 1 species